GGGCAUCAUGACGCGGAGGAGACAUUACCGAGUUGCAAACUCCCAAACCCACGCGUACCUACCUACACGUUGCUUCGGCGGUGCCGCCGCGGGGGGUGCCCAGCUGCUGGGCCCCCCCGGGGCGCCCGCCGGAGGCCACUAAAACUCUUCUGUAUCUCGCGUACCAUCUGAGCGAAUGGCGAAUAAUAAAAACUUUCAACAACGGAUCUCUUGGUUCUGGCAUCGAUGAAGAACGCGGCGAAAUGCGAUACGUAAUGUGAAUUGCAGAAUUCAGUGAAUCAUCGAAUCUUUGAACGCACAUUGCGCCCGCCAGCAUUCUGGCGGGCAUGCCUGUUCGAGCGUCAUUUCAACCCUCAGGCCCUGCCUGGCGUUGGGGCGCCGCGGCGGCGAGAGCCCCGCGGGCCCUGAAAUACAGUGGCGAGCCCGCCUGGACUCCGAGCGUACUAGCAACACUCGCUCAGGGCGUCCCGGCGCGCGUCGGCCGUAAAACACCCCAACUCACCAAAGGUUGACCUCGGAUCAGGUAGGAAUACCCGCUGAACUUAAGCAUAUCAAUAAGCCAGAAGAA
rnacentral:rRNA from 1 species